rfam:Triticum urartu cultivar G1812 contig314061, whole genome shotgun sequence.
GAUCUACUCCCUCCGUUUCAAAUUACUCGUCACGGAAGUGGAUGUAUUUAGAACUAAAAUACAUCUAGAUACAUCCAUUUCUGCGACGAGUAAUUCGGAACGGAAGGAGUAGAUC